rnacentral:tRNA from 1 species
GCGGGCGUAGUUCAAUGGCAGAACACGAGCUUCCCAAGCUCGGAGUGAGGGUUCGAUUCCCUUCGCCCGCUCGA